UCUUAUGUUCUUAUGAGAGGCCGAGGCCGCGCCGCCGCCUCUUCGCCCGCCUCUCCCAGCAGCCCCUCCGGACGCGGCGCCGUCCGCCUUCCCUCUCCCGGGGAGCGCGGCCGCCGCUUUGGGCACUCAGGCGCCUCGGGCUGCCCGGCGGGACCUGGAGCGAUGCUGCGCAGGCGAUGUCCGCGGAACACGAGAAAGACCCCGCCGCGGCGGCGGCGCUCAAGAGACCCAGAGGUGGUGAUGGUGGAUUGGAUGGGUUAGGAGGCCCAGGAGUGCAACUUGGAAGUCCAGAUAAGAAAAAGCGCAAGUCGAAUGCUCAGGGGUCAUCCUUUCCUCCACCAUCUGAAUACGCUCCACCACCAAAUCCAAGCUCCGAUCACCUUGUAGCUGCAAAUCCGUUUGACGAUAACUACAGUGCUAUUUCUUACAAGCCACUGCCUUCGGGAAACCCGUAUUUUGCAAAUCCAAGCUACCCCGGCUUUGGAGGCUACAACACUUUCAGAAUGCCACCGCAUAUGCUUCCCAGAAUGUCCUCGCCAUAUGGUGCUGCUUAUCCACUCAGAAGCCAGCCACAUCCAUUUCCUCAGAAUCCAGUGGGAAUGGUCUUCAACCGGCCUCAAGCGAUUAACUUUGGGCCACAUGAAAAUGCAGCUUUUGGAAACCAACCACCAUAUAACAGUAACUUGAAUCAAAAUAUCAGUAUGGCCAGCCAACACUUCAGGCCAAACCCUGGUGAGAAUUUUGGUCAUAUUCCUGCACAGAACACAACGCAAAUGUCACCCCAUGAUAUGCCGUUACACUUCGGACCUGGCAGCAACACAAAUUUUAACAAUUCCCAGAUGGAAUCAAACAAUUCUUAUGUUCCUUUGCCAAACAAUUACAACCAGACAAAGCCUUCACAAAAGCAAAGUGCCAGUAAGCACAAUCCCCUGCCACAUCAUCAUCCAAAUGGUCUAGAGGACAUUGUGAACUCAGGAAACACUGACAUAAAAACUGUGAAUCGAAAUGUCCCAGCAAACCAAGAGAGCAUCCCUUCUAAAAACGUUGAAAAUCUGAACAGCAAUCAUGCAAAUGGGGCUCCGAACAAACCCCGCUUACCCCGUGGUCCAGCCGAAGGGGGCGGCUCUGAGAAGGGCAGCAAAAUAGCUCUGCAGCAAGGCCACACGUCCACUGAACCCGUCUAUCCUUGUGGGAUUUGUACCCAUGAGGUGAACGAUGACCAGGAUGCCAUCUUGUGUGAAGCUUCUUGUCAAAAAUGGUUUCAUCGGAUCUGCACAGGCAUGACAGAGUCAGCAUAUGGAUUGCUCACCGCAGAAGCAUCAGCUGUAUGGGGCUGUGACACUUGUAUGGCUGACAAGGAUGUUCAGCUGAUGCGCACCAGAGAAACGGUUGGGCUGCCAGUGUUGAAUGCUGAUGCAUGAGAACCACCCUGGUUUCUCCACUCGGAUGACAGCCAUUCAUACAUUUCCUUUUUCAGUUGUGCGUGGUCUUCAUUUGUUGCAUCUUCACCAGUUGGUCCUUGUAUUCCUUUUCUGCCCAAGUGCUUUAAAAUUUCACUAGAAGAAAAUGCUUGACUGAUUGAGUCUGGUUUUACCCACAUGGGAAGUUACUGGAUAUGUAAAAGUCUCCUUUGUGGAUCAGGUUGCCCAUGACUGUUCAGCCUGACAGUGAACACAUUGGUGGACUGUGAAGGACCGUCAUAAUGAACGUGUCAAUUGUUAAUGAAUUCUGAAGACUUACUCAGUAGAUAUCUGUAGAGUGAUCUUUAGCAGCCAGCUUCCAAACACAUUCACUCAGUAGAAAGUCUCAUAAUUCCAGUGGCAAAGUAAGCCUUGAUGAGGCUAAGUGCCUAAAACCACAAGCCUCAAUGCUUUUUCUUCCCUGUCUUGUUUUUUUUAAGGAGAGGUUUGUAUUCCUAUGACACACGCACACCCACCCUUUCCAGCACCCAUCAUGCCUUGUCAGGGCAGGUCCUCUGCAGUGGCAUUGCAGCACCAUGAAGUGUAAUGUGGCCCCAGUGACAGAUGCCUUGGAAGUGCAUCGUGUGGUCCACGCUCUUUUGACUUUUUUUUUUUUUUUUGGUGAUGAACGUAACCCAGAGAAAUUUGUUGGAAUGGUUAACUUGUUAAGUCCCACUGUGUUCAAAUGGUCUUGACUUAUUAAGCAUGCUACAUUUUCUCUGGCGUGCGUGACAUGUGCUCAGGAUUGUGCUUUCAGACUUUGCUUCCACAUGGACUUACUGCAAUGUCUGUUCCACAGAAUUUACCGAUGCACAUGGACAGAAACGGGAUUAGCUUCCGUAGCCUUCCCACCUCCACCUGUAGCACUUGUAGCCCUCCCUCUCCCUCCCCCAGCCUCAACUAGUUUGCCAGUUUUGCUUUGUUUCUGUCUCGUUUUAGUGUGUUUCGGCGUCCACUUGGGGGCUCUUUGCCAAGUGUACUUUCUCUUGCCGCUCGUGCAGAGCAUCAUUCCUUGCUCUGCUUCUUCCAUGGGAAUGUCUCCUCAGCUCUGUUGCUGCUUUUGUUUUCAGUCUGGCUGUGCUCUUGAGAAUGGCUUGGGAGGGUUUUAUGUCUCCCUCUUGGGAAGGGGAGAUCCUUUCCAACAUUUUUCUUUCCCCCAAUGUAACUGCCUUUGGGGAUUUGAUAGAGUAUGUAAGAUGCAGAGGCCAGAGUGCUGGGUGGAAAUGAAGAGCCAAGUUUCUCAGCUCUUAACAGCUGAAGCCAGUCUGGAAAAAAACUUAGGCCAGAGUUUUUCUUUGUUACUACAAGUCUUUGUGACUUCCAAGGAAAUCCCAGGCUGUUUUGUGGCUUAACUUGCAGGGUUGCUCUGAGACGAGAACUGCAAAGCACUUGGGAUUCUGAAUAAUGUUGGAGGAAUGAGCAACUGCCACAAGUGUUGACUGCCAGUGGGAACCCCAAUGUUUUAGCCUCAUUGUUUUUCCUAAGUAAGGUGGCUACCAAGGAUAGAACCCAUACAGGUGGUCUGAGAGCCCCCAGUGAUUCUGUAGGUUAUAAACAGGCAAAGCUGGACAUGCUCUUUUGGCAUUUUUUAUUUGCAUUAUAAUCCCACAGGUUCUUUAUUUCUUUAUCUUACCAUUUAACAUUGAAGCCCAUCUAGAAAUGCAUUUUGUUACUGACAGUCACAUCUAGAGAAGGAAUUGUCUCUUAAUAGUCAGUACUUUAUGGGUUGUACCUAUGCACACUUCCAUCCUUCUUCAGCCCUGGGCUAACCUCUUGAUUAGUUCACAGAAUUGUAGACUAGAAAAUUUGGAAGGGGACCUGUAAGGCCAUCAAGUCCAACCCCCUGGUAGAUGCAGGAAUCCAAAUUAAAGCAUGCCCAACAGGUGGCUGUACAGCUGCCUCUUGAAUGCCUCUGGGGUUGGAGAGCCCACCACCUCCCUAGGCAAUGGGUUCCAUUGUUGUACUGCCAUUAAGGAGUUAGGAAGUUUUUUCCUUAUGUUCAGCCGAAAUCUGGCUUCUUGUAACUUAAGCCCAUUAUUCCAUGUCCUGCAUUCUGGGAUGACUGAGAAGAGAUCCUGGCCCUCCUCUGUGUAGCAGCCUUUGAAAUACUUGAAGAGUGCUAUCAUAUUGCCCCUCAGUCUUUUCUUCUCAAGGCUAAACAUGCCCAGUUCUUUCACUCUCAUUUCAUAGGGCUUUGUUUCUAGUCCCCUGAUCAUCCUCAUUUGCCCUCCUCUGAACUUGUUCUAGAUAGCAUGUAGUUGAGUCUAAUCUCAUAUUUGUGACCUAAUAAAGCCUUUCUCCCAACCUGUAUUGCAGCCAUGGGCUUGUCAUUCUAGGGGAAGCUCCUGGUGGAUUAGCUGUGGACUCUGUCCUGAUCUAAAACAAAUGAGAUUUUGAAGGAAGUGUUAUUCUAGAACAAGCAGUUGUAUAAAUGAGCUCUUAAGAUCUCAGUGGGAGUUUGAAUGAUGGCUUUCUCCCCCGCCUACUCAUUUGUAGAGAUUCAGAGUUAUCAAGCUGAAUGCCCCUUCAUGGACCCCCUCAAAAAAACAUUCUGUCUUGUUAGCCAAAAUUGAGAUGCAAGAGGGGUUUGCUUACUCUGAGCUUUUCCUCACUUUACAGAUAGGUGCAUUUGUGCUUAUGUGCUAGCACACCUGGAGUACUCCACCAAAUUAACUACAUAUGUAUAAUCCACCAUCAUUGAUGCUGCUGCUGUGAUCUCAAGAGCAGCCCCUCGGGAACCCUAGUAGAGAAGCACCUGGCUUGCACUUCUCUUCAUGUUAGCCUUUGUAUCCUGUGCAUAAUGCCCAUUGUAUGGAAGGUGAAGAUGUGACUAUUGGGGAAGGCUGUUUUUCUCUGCAGUAAUGUGGAAACUGCCCCAACAGCUGGAAAAAUGUUCAGAGUAAAGAAUAUUUGAGGAGCUUGAGAUGCUUAUGAGUUUGAGGUUUUGCUGGAGAAAUGGGCUUGCAGUGGCUCUGGUUUAGGGAUGGGUUUGCUAUCUGAUUCUGUUCUGUUUUUAAGUUUGUUGAAUGGGCUGCCAGUUGCUAUUCGCUAUAAAUUGUGUUCUGCUAGUUAUCAUGAUUCCUGGUUCUCCCUUUUUCCUGUUAUUUUUUCUGAAAAAGUACAUAAUUUUCUCAGUUAUCCCUUACGUUGCUGUAUAUUUAUAUAAUGUAUACAGCAGCAGCAGAUUACAAAAAUAAUUACGUCAUUCUCGCCAGAGAUUUUUUAAAAAAAUUACAGUGUGGCUAACAGCUGCGAACACACGCAAAGAAUAGGAGCCUGUUCAAUGAUGAGACAAAUUUGCAGAUUAUCCCAGAAUUCAAUACCAAAUCUAAUUCUGUGAGUAUUCUACACUAUCCCUAUUCUGGUCACAAUUAUGGCCUUGGAUUCUAGAAUCGGAGAAAGAGAUCUCAAAGCUAAAGUGGCUUAGCUGGGACUACAACUAGACUCAAAUAUCCUUUGUCAACACUGUGCCUUAUUCUGUGGCCUCUGGAUUGGUUUCUUCAAGGUGACAAGUGUAAAUAAUGGAGUUGGGGCAUUUGGAGUAGCUGGGUUGCUAACCUCUGUGGAAGCCACAUUUCAUUCGCCAUGUUGCUUUGCAGUCUGCUGGAGCCGUUCCAAAGUGCUCAUGCCUGCCAGGAACGUUGCUGUAUUUAGAGAGAACAUCUAUAUUGCUCAGCGCUCCUCAGACAAACUGCACUUCCAUGACAUCAGCUAAGAAGCUUCACGUAAUGCAAAGGGAUGGAUGAGCGGACUUGCCUCUUAAUCCCUUAGUUCUUUGAAGUGGAAUAGGUCAUGCCCUCUCAAAGGCUUCAUGAGAUAAACUCCCCAUUCCGGUGGUAAUUUUAGUUCUUUGUGCCAAAUUCACCUCACAGAAAAGCCCUCCAAAUUACCUUCUAAGAUAUAUAACGAGAACUAUACAAGAUGGCCCUGGGUUCCAGUUUGCCUUCCUCUGUAAUGUGUGGCUAAGGGUUGGCUGGCUGUUUGUCAGGCCUCUUGUAUAUAUGGCUGCCUCUUGUUAGCUCCUGUUCUGCCCGUGGCCAAUAAUGGCUUUGAAUUACAUGGAUUAACCUACCUUCAAGUGAUAGAAUUCUGUUGCCCAGAUCUGGCAAGGCAUGGUUUCACACAGAAACAGAUUCCGCCUGCUAAGCAUUGCUGUCCCCACGUGGCCAAAAGGGAAACCCCUAAAAUCUAGAAGCCUGGGUUGCACCUAUAGGUCUGCCUCUGACCCAGCAGGCCCGUUGCCAUCACUUGCACUCCUCUCCUCUGAGGAGGGAGAAUUUGUUCUAGACACUCAGUCUCCUCUCCCAUCUAUCUUUUGGCAGUGGACCAGGGGAGGGGGCAACACACUCCUAGAUUGGGGUGCAUGAGACUAAAUUUAGCCAUACAGAUAACCCUCUUGAAGUCCCUUAAUAAAGUAUCUUAACUACUUGUGGGAUUAUAUGUCACCCUUAUAAGGAAAAACCCCCAAUGUUUUUUGUUUUGAGAUUUCUUUUUAACCCAGUCAGCAGUCUUGAAAUUCGCUGUUUUUCAUUUGCCUUUUCAAUCUAAUAGUAAGAAUACUGCUUCAUGUUUAAAAUACAUGUACCCCUCACUUUAUAUAUAAAUAUAGCCUUGCUUGCUAGUAAAAGUACGUGUAACAUUUAAUACAUAGUUGACCAUAUGUCUUUUUAUGUUCUAUGUAACUUAAUGACUGUUUCAUAUUAAAACUAGUCUUUCCUUAUGUACUGCUCACAUAUACCUGUUUUUGGGAUAUCAGUUCAGUACUUUUAUACGAUUUCAAAUGUGUUCCACAUUGGUGACAUUUAUUUUUGCAACAACUUUAAAUAAAAAUGAAAUUAGAGCAUGUCUGAAAUAACACAUGCAUUAGAACUGUGGUGUGCGACAAAGUUGAUGUAUGUAAUUCAAAUUGGAAACAAGCACCCAGACUUUGUCCAUUAUUAUUCCUUUAGUACAGCCUUCCCCAACCUGAUGCCCUCUAGAUGUUGCUGGACUUCCCAACUCCCAUCAUCAUUUGUGAUAAUUGUUUGUGCUGGCUGGGGCUAAUGUGAGUUGUAGUCUGGAGGGUUACUAGGUUGGGGAAGGCUGUUUUAGUAAGAAAUUAAAUUACUAUGUAAUGCAAACAAUUUCAUAUCAUGGUGUGUGUUAAGCUACUCUAUGAAGUAUAGGAACCAUGUUUAUGUCUUUGAAUAGCUGGUCUUACAUUACAAGCUGAGUCCUAGUAGAUAAUAGUGAAUCAACUGGUGUGAUGUCUUAAGGUACACGGAAUUUGUGUCCAAUGUAAGUGGUUAAAUGUUUCAAUGUGCGAUGCUGAAAAAUGGGUGCCCGUUUGAUUGCAUUUAUCAAAUGACAAUCUUAUGUUUAUUUAAAAAUGUAAUAAUUCUUCAAGACAUUCAUCUUAAAAAAAAAAGUGAGGGCACAGAAAUAGAAUUUUAAUUCACUGCUGCAAUUGUUAAUAUUUCAGUUUGCUUUUUAAAAAGUUGAAGCUGGACAGAAUUAAGUGCUUGCAAAGUGAAUAUUAAUAAAGUCUUGUCAAGGUAACAAAGAAGAACGGAAUGUGUUCUGUUUGUGUAAGGAGUACUGAAUAAUCUUUGUGUACUU